GAUUGGGGAAGAAAACAAAGGGUAUGAAGGGUAGUAGCAGGGAAAUAAAAUAUGAUAGAAGAAAAAGGGACAAGACUAGCUAGGUGACGAUACUGAAUGGCCCAAAUCUAUAUAGAUUUGAAUAAUAACUGAUUGGAUUUAGUGGCAAAGGUCUGAUUUGAGCAGAGACAACGCGGCUAUGGCUAUUAAUAGAUUGAUCCAUUGAGGCC
rnacentral:lncRNA from 1 species